rnacentral:rRNA from 1 species
GAUGAACGCUGACAGCAUGCUUAACACAUGCAAGUCAACUUGAAUUUGGGUUUUUAACUUCGGUUUGGGUGGCGGACGGGUGAGUAACGCGUAAAGAACUUGCCUCACAGCUAGGGACAACAUUUGGAAACGAAUGCUAAUACCUAAUAUUAUGAUAAUAGGGCAUCCUAUAAUUAUGAAAGCUAUAAGCGCUGUGAGAGAGCUUUGCGUCCCAUUAGCUAGUUGGAGAGGUAACGGCUCACCAAGGCGAUGAUGGGUAGCCGGCCUGAGAGGGUGAUCGGCCACAAGGGGACUGAGACACGGCCCGUACUCCUACGGGAGGCAGCAGUGGGGAAUAUUGGACGAUGGACCGAGAGUCUGAUCCAGCAAUUCUGUGUGCACGAUGAAGUUUUUCGGAAUGUAAAGUGCUUUCAGUUGGGAAGAAACAAAUGACGGUACCAACAGAAGAAGUGACGGCUAAAUACGUG